AAAAAAGUAACUAAUUUUGCCAAAACGUAUUUCCCAAAAGAAAAUGUAAGGUUUUAAUUCUCAUCGCAGGUUUGUGCAAGUAUUUACCAUGGCCACCAACACCUUGCGAUUUCUAGCACGACAAUUCAAUUAUGCUAAUUUGUUUCAAAAACACCCCAUGCACACUUAUGGUUCAAAAUCUUUAUCAAUUACAUGAUACGAUUAAAUACGACCGUAGUAAUUGUUAACAACCUCAUUCACACCAUCACAAUGUAAAUUGCUCCUUCUUCGCAUGACUGUUAAGCUGUGACUGGCAGUAUGAAUAUGAAUCAUGAGCUAGCGUCUGUUCCUGGGAAUUGAAGUACACAAAUGGCGUAUAGUUUAGGAAAUUUGAGACCCUAGAGGUAUAUAUAUCUGCAUACUUCUCAAUUUGUCUCAUCAAGUGGCUUUUGUCCCACAGACCUGCACGUGAAAGAAAUCCCCACCUCCUAUUGAAAAGUUCUCCGUCUGCUUCUAGCAUGGGAGCAAUUUUUUCAUCCAGUCUUUGCAUGACAAUCAAUAACUUUUGGAUGCUUUCUGUGAGUUCUUGAUCAUCCAUGUUAGUCGCAGCAAGGGUCUGAGCAGGACGCUCUUUAUUUCGCCUUUGCAGAGCAAGCCGAAGUUGGUUAAAAAGAUCCCCUACAACCUCCUUUUGAUUAAUAAGUUCGAUCAGUGCAGCUCGAUGAUCCCGACUACGAAUUAAAGCAGUGUACUCUUCUUCCAAUUCUCGACAAAUCAAUGCUGUUCGCCAUCGUAGAUGGACUUUUGAUUGACUUACAUCAGUGUAAAUAUGAUCACCGACAUACAAUAUUUCAUCACCAUGUAUAUUUAAGGAGUUCUCAACCAUCUGAGCACUCCCACCUGAGUACAAACCUCCUGUACGAGCUUUGAAACAUGGACGCAUCAAACCCUCACCCGUCACCACCUCAUACAGUGGGUGCGACAUUUGAAAGAACUCUGGCUUCCUAGCCGAGACUAUCACCAUGUCAAAUAGAUCACGCCAGUCCAUAUCAUUUGGGAGGAAUCUGUUAAAGGAAUGCUUCAUCAUUUUGUCUGUGUAAUGAUAAUCAGAGUUUGUAAUAAGCAGAAGCUUUUUACCAGCCUCCUUUUGAUCUAAAAGUGCUAAAGGCAAUUCUGGGUCUGGUUCCACAAACAAUUCAGGCUUUGACAUUAUCUCACUCUUAAGCUGGCCUUCUACAUGUGCCCGAAACAGAGCCUUCCCAACAGCCUUGUAAAGUCCUUUAUAAUCAAGCGGACCAAGUUCUGCUGCUAUAGCUCCUUCAUCCAAUCGGUCAACCAUCUACGAGUGGAAUCCGAAGGCUGCAUGUAAGCCACAGCUUCUGAAACGGAGAACAAUGUAUUCAGGAACUCCCAUCGACUCUCCUUCCGCAGGUCUACCAGUUCCCUUCCAUACAUCUCACUGACAGCUUGAGUAGACAGCAUUUUUGUGCCAUGCAUGGCCCUCUUUACAUAACCAAAUCGAUCGGCUUUAACCAGAUUGCCUCUCUCUUUGUCUAUGACAAGACCCCUAAUUACCAAGUCAGGAUCAAAUGCAAGUCCAUCAACUGGGAAACCCAUGUUUCGCAGAUUGUCCAUGCAGUAAUCAUAAGCCCGUCCUUCCCAAGCCAUCACAUUGUAAUGUAUCAAAGUGUAGUCCAUGUCAUAUCCAAUGGCACUGAUGGACCGAAGAUUCAAAGUACGGCUACAAAAUAUACCACGAGGUGAAUUCCUUGCUGAAAAAGGACUCAGUAUGCCCAAGUCUCUAAGCAAAUCCUCAGCUUCUUGAGCUUUCAACCAAGCGACAUCCUCAAUUGGACCUUCUAAAGUAACCUGCGGAUCAAUCCCAAUAGAAUCAAGAUGAUCAUAGUUGAGAUUCAAAUCCCCUUUCGUGCUCUGUCCCAAAUAAUCAAACCCGUAUUUACUGGACGAAGUAACCGAAAACACUUGUUCUCCAACGGUGGAGGGGGACUUGGAAUCGAGAGUGCACCGACACAUUGACGUCAGAGGUCUGCAGCUGAAAUGAGAAAUGGGUCUGAGCGGAAGAGGAUAGUUGACUGGCGCAGCCAUUAGAAGGCCACCAACGGUCUCUCUAUGGAUGAAAAAGAAGGAUCCUUUGCCAAAAAGCUCCGCUGCCAUGGGCAUAUUAGCUUGGCGCUCUGGCGUGCGCAAUUAUUACGUGCUUGCUGCUUACAGCUUCUGGUAGGAGCAAAAAUAUCUAUCCGAGAUUCUGAAUUGUAGACAAUGGGGAUGAGAAACUGAAAGUGAAAGAAGAGUGGUGAGAUUAAAAAAAAAAGAAGGAGAAUUUUGUGGAUUGACUCCUUUGUACACUUUUUCUUUGAUGUUUGUCUUUGUGCCAGUGUCCGUAUGAACAGGAGGCUAACCCUUGUCAUCAACGGCUAACAAUCCCCUUCACAAUUCCCGUGCGAGUCUAUGAUAUGGGCUUUAGCUAACAUCAGCAGUGCAUAAGAGCCCAGAUCCUUGUUUCCCUUGAGCUUGUAAAUGCAAUUACAGGGCCCAAUUAACUAUCAGCCUCAUGCUGCUGUAUCACAGCUUGGAACGCUUAGGC
rnacentral:misc_RNA from 1 species